AACCGGUCUGUACCUAGCUGAUGAGCCCAAAGAGGGGCGAAACCGGUG
rnacentral:hammerhead_ribozyme from 11 species